rnacentral:rRNA from 1 species
AUGACGCCAAUGUCAACAUCAUCAACUCAGCGUCGCAAUGAUCAUGAUGGUGAGAUCGCAAGAAGGACGCCCGCCAUCCACUUCGACAUGCUGGAGCUAGAGGACGGAGGCGUGGCGCCCGUUGGGGAUGCGGCCGACGUCUACUUCGUCAAGCUGGAGCCUGGAGGCACGGAGCAUGUAGGGAUGGUGCGGCGUGCCGCGGAGGAUGGCGAGAUAGAGCCGGCUAGGACGACGCCCGUCAUCUUCUUCAUCAAGCUGGCGCUAUGGAGUACGAAGGCGUGGAGGCUCGGGACGAUGGUGCCAUGGAGUUUGCCAAGAUGA